rnacentral:lncRNA from 1 species
UAUAACAAUUCUUUUUCCACAAAAAAUGACUCUUUUACCCAUAGAUAAAUUUCUUUUUAAUUUUAUUUUGUACCAUUUAACUAUCAACUAUUUGGGAUCAGGCUCUGAAGAUAAAUUUAAAUAUUUUAAACCUUUUAAAAUUAUAUUUGAUAAUCAAAAUUUUAAAAGGAUAAUUUUUAAUUAUGAAACUUUAUUAUCGGAAUACAUAUAAAGAGCUAGGCUCCUAUGCUUUCGAAAGUAAAGAGGCUUCCGUACUUAUAAGUUAUUUUCAAUGAUGAGAUAUCUGAUUAGACAAUCGGCUCCGUUAGAUAUGAUCUACGCUAUUAAACUAUUUAGAAAUCAAAUUCAUAAUUUUUUUACUUUAUUUGCCUAGCUAGUGAAUAAGUAACUCCAAAAUGAAUAGCUAAAAAUAAAAAUCUCACAAAAAACAGUGAUAAAAUACUCAAAUUUUAAAUCAAAAGUAUUGAUCUUACUCGUAACAUGUAAUUUGAAUUAUUUUAUAUCGUUGAACUUACAAACGUGCUACAUCGGUUAUUAAAAUAGUCAUUUUUUAGAUCCUUAAUUUGAUCACUUUAGUAAAUGAAGUCGAAAAAUUAUUAAAUUUGGUUUCUAAAUAGUUCUAAUAGUGUAGAUAAUUUCUAAGGGAACUGAUAGAUAGUCGAAUGUAAUAUCCUAUAAUCAAAAAUAAUUUAUAAAUACGGAAAUUGUCGUACUUU